rnacentral:misc_RNA from 1 species
UGUUCGUUUUCAAUUGGGAAGACAAGAAAAAAUUUCAUCUGCACAAAAAGGAAUUUUUCCCCCCCAACUUUCAUAAGCAUUCAUGAUUACACCCUAGAGCAAUCAAAUUCCUCUGCUUUCAUCCAUCUCAACAUUAAUGUAUAACAAAAGUACAAAAUCCUAAAUUUACCACCCUCCCUAAGGAGAUUGAUUGAUAUAUAACCAAAAAAAUCACUCGACUGCACAUCCAAACCCAG